AUCUGUAAAUGGAGAGACUUCAUUUCCUACAGCAGGAUGUUGACUGUGAAGACCGAACAAAAUAGGUGCACCUGUCUGCUUCGUAAAGCAGUUCGCACCGGUUAUAAUACCGUAGCAAGACCCGGCCCCUGCCCCUGCCCCUGCCCCGAGGAGCGCACCGGGUGACGCUGGUAUGUGCCCCCGCCCCCCGGGCCAGGAGAAGCUGAGUGGUGGCGGAGAGCUGUGAUGAGGGUCUGAGCCUGGCCAGAGGUGUGCGGCCCAAGCUUCCCCUGGGCUUCACAGCCGCUGGGGGGGUCCUGCGGGGCAGAUUGGAGGAGCGCGCAGGGUCGCGUGAUCGAGUCUGCAUGGGGGAAUGCACAAGUUGGGGCAAGAUCCCUGAUCUGAGCGACGCGAAGCACUGACGGUGAACAGGGCAGUCCGCGGCAGCUUGAGACUGACCUCACUUGAGCCUUGGACUGGCGUUCAGGUUGGGUGGAGAACUGUCCAGAAGGCAGCCAUCCUGGGCCCAGGACCUACACCAAGAAGCCUUCCAGGCCGUCUGGCAUCUGGACCAUCCACACCAAUCACCCCCAUUUCACUGUGGUCCCUCCUCACUUCUGAUCCUGAGUGCAGCUCCCCAGGAGACUGUGAGCCUAAAAGGCAGGGUGGGGUCACAGUCAUGUGAUGUCCCCAGCUUCACCCAGCCCAGCACUGGGCCCCAGGCAAGAGCUGAGAGCACGGAAGCUAGGUAUUCAAGGGAGGUGGGGAGUCUAGCAGCUUGGAAAGAGCCCAGCCUGCCCUCCGCAUCCCCUUUGGCUGGUCCUGGCAUCCCCAAACACCUCUUUUCUAUUGAAGGGCUCCCUCUAUCACCUUCAACUUCUGUCUUCACUCCCCACUGCACUCUGAUGUGCUGGGUCCCUGGACCCUGCCUUUCCCACCUGAGUCUCUGUCCAAUGGGUCCUUUCUGAAUUCCAUUGUCUUUUGCUCAGAUUCUUGCUUAACUACAUAAGAAAGAAGGUGCCAGGCUGACCCAGGUACAAAUCCCAGCUGCAGGUAUCCGUCAGGAGCCUUUGGGUCGCAAGAAACAGGAAACCAGCUUCAAGCUGGCUUUAGAGGAGAAUUUACUGGCUCAAGGAACAGAGGUGCAGGAAUGGCCCUGGCUUCAGGUCUGGAUAGAAAAAGGGGCUCGAAGGAGGGCACAAGGUCACGUCCUCUCCCAGCUGCCUCUACGGGGUCCUGCACACCCUCAGGCAGACUGGUUUUGCUGGGCCCACAACCCCGGGAGCCCCAGGCUUCCCUCCACCUACCAAGGCCUCUGGUAAGACACAGCUGGUCUCGUACUGCCAGUGCUCAACCAAGGGCCCUAAGGCCUAGGCCUGCCUGACCCAACCCCCUGCACAAUUGUAGCAAGGGCUCAGGGGGUGCCUGGCCCAGAUGUCAGGUCCCCACAGCCCUGGGGUUGUCUGCAGGGGGUGAGCGCCCCCAACGCCCACUCCCGAUGCUCCUCUCCCUGUAUCGUGUCAGCACCUAGGAGGUGCUCAGGAUCAGCACUGAUUAUCAAUAGCUUGUUGCUGCUGAGUCUAAACGGUAUCGUCCUCCAUCUGUCCUAUUGUGGGCCUGCCCAUCAGACACAUUUCUUCCCUCCCCCAAUAAGAUUCUGCUUCAUUUCACCAAUGUUCCUCGACGGGUCCUCAGUGCAGGCCAAGUGCUGGGUGGUGCUGGGACAGAUCCCAUCCCUGACCUGAGGAGGUCACAGCAGGGGAGGAAAGGGCAUCCUCGCCAGCCUGCCCCACACGAGUGGAGGGCUUCUCCGAGGAGAGACCUGGGUUCCGCCUUCCCCGGCCACUCUGUGUCUUGUUUGGAACCAGGAGAGGGGAGGGCAGAUGGAGUGUGAGCCUGCUGUGUCAUGGCAUCCGGCAGGAGGGGACAGCUCAGGAUUGGAGGGCAGGCUCGCCUUUAGAAUGUGUCUCUAUCUCCUGAGUAGGAACAGCACCCCUCUCGAAAUCCUAUUGUAAUUACCCAUUGACUCACUGCCCCACCCACACCCCAAGUUCAAGGAGAAGCCUGCCUCCUCCCCAUGACCCAGGCCUGACACAUGGGACAUGUGGAAAGGUGUCACCAGCAAGUCAAAGGAACUGAUUACCUAAUUUAUUUUAAUCUCAGAAAAUUUGUCUAAUCGAUUUGGAGGCCUCCACUGCCUCCACUGCAGGAGACCUGCCCCCUGCCUGAGUCCCUCCCUAAUGUCAGCUUACACUGAAGGAACCUGAGAAACAUUUAGGGGCCAGGAUCGCCCCUCACGGGCGCAUUCCAGUGAAAUCAGCAACUCCCUGAUUUAAGGGCCAGGUUAAGAAAAGGGGGAAACUGAGACUGAGGCAGCAUUUGUAAAACCGGCUCGGAUCGUGGUAAAGCCACGGGCCACAGUGCUGUGUGUUUGUUGCCACAACAGGGCAACCCUGGGCUCAAUCCACACGCCCCAGAAAGUGUGUCAACUCAGUGCCUGUGCACUCGUAUGAUUAAAGUCAUAGCUGGCAAAGGAAA